rnacentral:misc_RNA from 1 species
GAUGAAGAACGUAGCGAAAUGCGAUAAGUAGUGUGAAUUGCAGAAUUCAGUGAAUCAUCGAAUCUUUGAACGCACAUUGCGCCCCUUGGUAUUCCAUGGGGCAUGCCUGUUCGAGCGUCAUUUGUACCCUCAAGCUAUGCUUGGUGUUGGGUGUUUGUCCUCUCCUUUUACGAUUGGACUCGCCUUAAAGACAUUGGCAGCCAGUGUAUUGGUCUUGAAGCGCAGCACAUUUUGCGAUUCUUGCUGAUAAUCACUAGCGUCCAGUAAGCCUAUUUUAACACUUUUGACCUCGGAUCAGGUAGGGAUACCCGCUGAACUUAAGCAUAUCAAUAAGCGGAGGA